GUGCCUGUAGCUCAGCGGAUAGAGCAUCUGCCUACGGAGCAGAGGGUCGGGAGUUCGAAUCUCUCCAGGCACG
rnacentral:tRNA from 1 species